rnacentral:rRNA from 1 species
UACGUAGGGGGCUAGCGUUGUCCGGAAUCAUUGGGCGUAAAGCGCGUGUAGGCGGCCCGGUAAGUCCGCUGUGAAAGUCGGGGGCUCAACCCUCGGAUGCCGGUGGAUACUGUCGGGCUCGAGUACGGAAGAGGCGAGUGGAAUUCCUGGUGUAGCGGUGAAAUGCGCAGAUAUCAGGAGGAACACCGGUGGCGAAGGCGGCGUCCUGGACCAACACUGACACUGAUGAGCGAAAGCCAGGGGAGCAAACGGG